AAAAAUCUGUUUACCGAUGAUGAAAUGACAAAUGUUCAAGAACGUUGUGCAAAUUUGAUUUUGAAAAGACUUUGAUGUAAUUUAAUUAUGUCAAUAACUAUGCUUUGAAACAAUGUUUAGCUUUUGUUUAGUUUUAUGAUAUUGUAACUUUGGAUUUGUUUGAUAUUGUAACAAUGACAGGUUUGAUAUGAAAUCAUAUGAUAUUUAAU
rnacentral:lncRNA from 1 species